rnacentral:lncRNA from 1 species
GCUCUUCUUCCUUCCUUCUCCAGUCCCUUCCACUGUGCGUCUUCUGUCCCCCGUUCUUCCCCAGCGGACCCCUCUUUCGAGACUCCCUAGUGGGGUCCCCAGCUCCCGGGCGAUCCUGCCCUUGCCGAGCGCGUUUUCUGGAGUCACCUGGGGGAGGGGAGUCCUGGGCAGGGCCGGGCUGGGGAAGACGCCUGGGGCACUGCCCGGCGUUAACAAAGGGAGCCGAUACCGACCGGCGUGGGCGCGGAGCGGGCGGCCGCCACCGAGCGUGCUGAGCAACCGCAGCCUCCGCGGCCGAGAGUGCAGCGACCUCAGCUCCAGCCAGCCUCAGUUCCGGAGGAGCCCCCUCAAAUUCAUGGCCCACAAAGGAGAGAGAAGACCUCCGAUCUCUUGUGCCAUGCUCACUAUGCUAUGUGAAAUUUGCUAUGUUAGACCUUGACAUCCUGGAUGGUGGGGAUGAUGACUGGUUUCUCUGCACAGCCCUGGGCCCAGUAUCCUGCCCAGCCCUUAGGAGUCCUCAUGGAAUGAGCUCAGCUCCCGCGAUGCUCCUGUUUGUCCACUGAGGCAAGGGGAGAGCCAGUUGCGCAGAGCC